GGAUAUUGUGGCACACGGUGCCCGGGCGCUGCGGCUGCACAAUCGCACCCUGGGGAGGGCUCUGCUGGAUCCCUGCGUGUCAAACAGUGCUGGCUGUGUGUGUGGCACUGGCACUGUCACUGUCACUGUGUGUGUGGCACUGUCACUGUCACUGUCACCGUCACUGUGUGUGUGUGGCACUGUCACUGUCACUGUCACUGUGUGUGUGUGGCACUGUCACUGUCACUGUCACUGUCACUGUCACCGUCACUGUGUGUGUGGCACUGGCACUGUCACUGUCACUGUCACCGUCACUGUGUGUGUGGCACUGUCACUGUCACUGUCACUGUCACUGUCACUGUCACUGUGUGUGUGGCACUGUCACUGUCACUGUCACUGUCACUGUCACUGUCACUGUCACCGUCACUGUGUGUGUGUGGCACUGUCACUGUCACUGUCACCGUCACUGUGUGUGUGGCACUGUCACUGUCACAGUGUGUGUGGCACUGUCACUGUCACCGCCACUGUGUGUGUGUGGCACUGUCACUGUCACUGUCACCGUCACUGUGUGUGUGUGGCACUGGCACUGGCACUGUCACUGUCACUGUGUAUGUGUGGCACUGUCACUGUCACAGUGUGUGUGGCACUGGCACUGGCACUGUCACAGUGUGUGUGGCACUGUCACUGUCACUGUCAUCGUCACAGUGUGUGUGGCACUGGCACUGUCACAGUGUGUGUGUGGCACUGUCACCGUCACACUGUUUGUGGCACUGUCACUGUCACCGUCACUGUGUGUGUGUGUGUCGCUGUCACUGCUACUGUGUGUGUGUGGCUGUCACUACCACUGUCACUGUGUGUGUGUGGCACUGUCACCGUCACUGUCACUGUAUGUGUCACUUUCAUUGUCACCGUCACCAUCACUGUCACCGUCAUUGUGUGUGUGUGUCACCAUCACUCUGUGUGUGUGUCACUGGCACUGACACUGUCACUGUGUGUGUCACUGUCACUGUGUGUGUCACUGUCACUGUGUGUGUGUGCGUCUGUCCCCGUGGCUGUCACUGUCACUGUGUGUGUGUGGCGCUAUCACUGUCACUGUGUGUCAUUGUCACUGUGUGUGUGUGUCACUGGCACUGACACUGUCACUGUGUGCCAGUGACAGUGUCACUGUGUGUGUGUGUGUGUGUGCGCGCUGUCCCUGCAGCUGUCACUGUCACUUUGUGUGUGUGCCUGCCCCCAUGGCAGUCACUGCCACUGUCACUGUGUGUGUGUGCAGUCCCUGUAGC
rnacentral:lncRNA from 1 species